CCUACGGGAGGCAGCAGUGGGGAAUAUUGCGCAAUGGGCGAAAGCCUGACGCAGCGAGCCGCGUGGGGGAUGACGGCCUUCGGGUUGUAAACCUCUUUUCUUCUUGACGUAGGCCCAUGCUGUUGUGUGGGUUGACGGUAGGGGGGGAAUAAGGACCGGCUAACUACGUGCCAGCAGCCGCGGUAAUACGUAGGGUCCGAGCGUUGUCCGGAAUUAUUGGGCGUAAAGAGCUCGUAGGUGGCGUGUCGCGUCUGUAGUGAAAGCCCGGGGCUUAACUUCGGGUGGGCUGUGGAUACGGGCAUGCUUGAGGUAGGUAGGGGAGACUGGAAUUCCUGGUGUAGCGGUGAAAUGCGCAGAUAUCAGGAGGAACACCGGUGGCGAAGGCGGGUCUCUGGGCCUUACCUGACGCUGAGGAGCGAAAGCGUGGGGAGCGAACAGGAUUAGAUACCCUGGUAGUCCACGCUGUAAACGUUGGGCGCUAGGUGUGGGGACUUUCCACGGUUUCCGUGCCGGAGCUAACGCAUUAAGCGCCCC
rnacentral:rRNA from 1 species